rnacentral:rRNA from 1 species
CCUAAUACAGGCAGGUCGAGCGAGCGGAACUAACAGAUUUACUUCGGUAAUGACGUUAGGAAAGCGAGCGGCGGAUGGGUGAGUAACACGUGGGGAACCUGCCCCAUAGUCUGGGAUACCACUUGGAAACAGGUGCUAAUACCGGAUAAGAAAGCAGAUCGCAUGAUCAGCUUUUAAAAGGCGGCGUAAGCUGUCGCUAUGGGAUGGCCCCGCGGUGCAUUAGCUAGUUGGUAAGGUAAAGGCUUACCAAGGCGAUGAUGCAUAGCCGAGUUGAGAGACUGAUCGGCCACAUUGGGACUGAGACACGGCCCAAACUCCUACGGGAGGCAGCAGUAGGGAAUCUUCCACAAUGGACGCAAGUCUGAUGGAGCAACGCCGCGUGAGUGAAGAAGGUUUUCGGAUCGUAAAGCUCUGUUGUUGGUGAAGAAGGAUAGAGGUAGUAACUGGCCUUUAUUUGACGGUAAUCAACCAGAAAGUCACGGCUAACUACGUGCCAGCAGCCGCGGUAAUACGUAGGUGGCAAGCGUUGUCCGAUU